UACUUUAUCAAAAAAAUUUCUUAUUGUUUUAUAAACAUGAUAAUUAUUUCUAUUUGUAAUUGGUUCUAAAAAUAUAUUUUAGAUAAUGAAAUGAAUCUUACAUUUUCAUAGAAAUUAACAACAAUUGCCAUAUUUGGAAAAUCUCUCUAUAAAUUAAUAAAUAUUAAUUUAUCGAGAAAUUAAUACCUCUAUAAAUUAAUAGAAUUUUGCGGUGCCAACAUUAUUAAUUUAUAGAGGUUUUACUGUAGCUGAAAGUGGUGGAGCUGAACGCAUUCGAGCGUGAAUAUGUCGUCACAUAUAGUGAAGGAAAAGAUUAUACGAUGAGCUUGCUCUUGAAAACUUGCAGUUGCAAGGUAUUCGAUAUCCAAAAGUAUCCUUGUAUUCACGCAUUAACUUAGGGUCCGAAUGGUGACAACAAAUAGAGCGGAACGGACAAAGCGGACAAUGCGGAUAAAGUGCAGAAAAAGCGGUUAUAGUGGACAUAGCGGAUGAAAUGGACACAACGGAUUAUGUUGAUGAAACAUAGCGAUUUUAUGAGUUGAAUGGUUAAAAGCGGACAAAACGGUCUAAUGUUUUAAAAAAAAA
rnacentral:sRNA from 1 species